rnacentral:lncRNA from 1 species
UUGGAUUCUGGGUAACACAAGUGAUGUGAAAGCUUAAUAAUAAAUCUUGGGAAUGAAGCAUAAGCCCAGAUGUGAAACCUACGGUGCCAUAUCUGUGCUGGACAAUAGGAGGCAGUGCUGCCCAACCCAAGGAUAUUGGCCAAAGCCGCCUUCAGUACUUUCUAUCUAAGGUCAGCAUUAAGUCUAGGAAAGACCAGACUGGGGAUGAGCCUGUGGGGAGGUCAGGUUGCCACAACUGUGCGGGGAAACCAGACCAGCUCUGGCAGAAGGUGUGGUCAGGAGUCUCGUUCUUGCGUCAUCCACUCAGGGUUCUAGUACAAGUUCCUUUCUCACAAGUCUUGCUGUUCCUGUUACAGUCAGCCCACUCCCCAGUCCACACAGUUUCUUGGCCCCAGGGGCCCAUUUUGCUCUCAUCAUCCUAUGGAAGGUGCCUCUUGAAAUUUAUAGCCCCUAAAAUCCUGCAAAUGCGUUGAUAACAGAUGUCUACUUGGCUACAUCUGAGAGGGCUUCUCUGUCAUGACCACCAGCCUGCAGAGUGCUGUUCCCAGCUGCUGCUUCAAGGGGGGGUGCUGACUGAUGGAAUUUCUGCAGGGAUCUCUUCAUUCUUCCUCGUUUUUCUUCCUGAGGAGAAAAUUUUGCUUUAUCAUUAAGUCUUCUGGGUCUGAUUCUGCUCAG